AACUUUCAACAACGGAUCUCUUGGUUCUGGCAUCGAUGGAAGAACGCAGCAAAAUGCGAUAAGUAAUGUGAAUUGCAGAAUUCAGUGAAUCAUCGAAUCUUUGAACGCACAUUGCGCCCGCCAGUAUUCUGGCGGGCAUGCC
rnacentral:rRNA from 1 species